GGGCUGGGCUUUUCAUUGACCAUGGGUUGGAAUAGUUCUGUGGGCAUAGUGUGUCUUUGAAGCCACUAUGUUUUCUGCACUUGUGACUAGAGAGCACCUUGAUAGCUCAGUUGGUAGACCGGUGGACUGUAAGAUGCUCCUUGUGUGAAACGCUGUGAUCCUAAGGUCGCUGGUUCAACUCCAGCUCCAAGCACCUCCAUGUCAUUGGAAAUACCCCCAAGCCUUGUCUUUAUCUGUCAACUCCUCCAAAAUGUCAAAACACAAAGAAGAUAACUCUUUCUUAAAUUUUCAACCAUCAAUUUUUUAUUCACUCAGCCUAAAAGUCCUGAUUAUCAGUUCUGGGUCCCUGGCAAUGACUGUUGGGUACAAACUGCAAAGCUGUGUUCUGCAGGUAGGGCUGGGCUUUUCAUUGACCAUGGGUUGGAAUAGUUCUGUGGGCAUAGUGUGUCUUCGAAGCCACUAUGUUUUCUGCACUUGUGACUAGAGAGCACCUUGAUAGCUCAGUUGGUAGAGCGGUGGACUCUAAGAUGCUCCUUGUGUGAAAAGCUGUGAUCCUAAGGUCACUGGUUCAACUCCAGCUCCA